rnacentral:tRNA from 1 species
UGGCUUAGUGCGCAAAGCGCCGGCUUGCUACUCCGAAGGUCCCGGGUUCGAUUCCCGG